rnacentral:lncRNA from 1 species
UAAAAAUAAAUUUUCUUCAUUGAUAAAAAGAAAAAGAAAAUAACUCAUGUCAAACAUAAAAUUUGUAAUCAAUCUCAACCAUUCAAUUUUGAAUUAAUAGUUGAAAUUAUUUUAAUUAAAAGACAAUUUUUAAUCUACCGUUCGAUCUCAUAUCAACGACCGAGAUUAAAAACCGCGUACAAUGUAUGAAUUUGUUAUAGCAUGGAAUCGGAAAAAUAGUACCUGAAUUGAAAAGCAUGAAUAUUAUUUGGGUUCCAAAUCGGUGAUAUUAAUGAUGAUUCGAACGUAUGUUGACAUAUUUUUGGUGAUAAAACAUGGUACAUGGUAGGGGGGUUAUAUUAAAUUGGAGAUACUAGAAUUCAGAAGCAUAUAUCCAAUUAGGCUGUAAAGUUAGUGGGCCAUGGCCCAAAAUACAGAAUGAAGUGACCCCACUUAAUUGAUCCCUGACGAUCCCACAUCUUGCAUGGGCCCCCAUUGAAUUAUAAUGCACUGGUUGGUGACGAUAAAUGUUGCAAAACAUAGUGUAAACCAUGACAUCAAACACAGAGAAAAGAAUAAUUAAAUACACCCCACCCUUGUGCAAAGCUGCUCUCUGCUUGAUUACAAAACAAAAAGAGAAAGAUAAAUUAUAAGCUAGUAUUCAAUUAUUGAAAUUUUUAACGCAACUUGCCUAAUUGCUUUAUAUUUCCACAAUUCAUGUUGGUAUAUAUAUAUGGUUGGAUUUUUUCUUCAAGUUUGAAAUUUCUUACAAAUAUUUUAAUUCAUAAUUACACUUCAUUAAUGUUAGAAUAACUUAUGUUGUGGGAGGAAGAGUGUAUUAAGCAAUACAAUAUGUACACUUUAGAAACUCUUGUAAUAUAUUCUCUUGAGUUUGUACACCACUCCAACAAUAAAUGAUGAUCUAUGAAGAAUUGAGUAAAUAACUAUUACCAUGAUGUCGGUGGUGUUCAUAUUUAAAUUAAUUUAAAAAAAUACUACAAAUCAAUCUAAAAUAAUAAAAAAAUCAUACAAAAUUGAAUAAUAUUAUUGAAUGUGUUUGUAUUUUUUAUUUUUAUUUUUGAAAAUUGUUCUGAUUGUAUUAGAUUUCAGAUUCAUUUUUAAAAAUCGAACUCAACUGCGUAUAUAAAUUUUAAUAUUUUUUUUUUUAAUAUAAGAUAUUAUAUUAAAUUAUUAUUUAUUAGUUUAAUAAUUUUUUAACAAACUUAUUUGUUUAAUUUAAUAUAUUUUCAUGAUCAUUUUAACCAUACUCGAUUAAUGUUAUUCUUUAACUUUUUAAUUUUUAGUAUAAUAUAUAUAAUAUUUUGUUUCACAUGUAUUAUUUUGAUAUAAUUUAAAAAUAUUAAUAUUAAAUUAAUAUUUUAUAAAUUAUAAUUUAAAUAAACUAAAAGUUAAUCUAAUUUAAAUUGUAUUAAUUUAAGUUGGAUCAGAUUAAUUUUUUUUAAUUAGCAUUCAAAUUAAACAAAAUCACAAGUAUUUUAAUUAUGGAUUAAAAUGUUUUAUCUAAACAUCAGAUCUAAAUCGCAUUUCCUCACGAAUAUCACAAUUUUUCAUCUAAGAACACACACCUAAAUCGCACCACAAACAUUUAUAAUAUAUAUCCCGAAACAUUUGCUCACGAAUAUCACAAUUUUUUAGUUUAUAACUAAGAACACACACGUAUGUAUAUAUAUAUAUAUAUAUAUAUAUAUAUAUAUAUAUAUAUAUAUAGAUGUAUAUAUAAACAUCUAUCCUAUUCCAGCCUUUAGAGGAAGCACUAGAUAAAUAGUGUUAAAGUUGAACAUAAUUGAUGUGUAAAUUAAAUAUAGUGUAGUAGUUAUGGAUUUGGAUUUUUCGGUUCAACUUUAAUCUCUCUUGAUUUUUCUUAAUUUUUAUUUUUUUACAUAAUUUGUUUAAAUUUUAAUUAAAAGUUUAUAUCAUAUAAAUUAUAUAUAUAAAAUUUUAUCUAAAUUUAAAAUAAUUUAAUAUAUUAAAAUUAAUAUUUUAUACACAUUUAUUAAAAACCUUUAAUUUUAUAAUUUAAAAAAAUAAAAGUAAAAAAUAAUAAUAAAAGAAACAAAGAAAGUUAAUAAGAUCGAUAAAAAUUUAAAUUAUCAGAAAAUCAAUAAUAUAAUAUUUAGAAGUUUCAUAAAUAUUACUUAAUUGAUAGUUAUAAAAACAUUAAUAUAUACAUACAUGAUACAUGAUAAAAUUGAGAUUUCUCUUAUCCACACUUAACAUAUGAGUAUAGUGACUAGGUUAUUUAAAAAAAAAAAAAAUGAAAUCGAUGAAUGGGAGAUGGAAACAUAAUGUUAGGCCAGCAUGAAAGAGAACACAAUGUACUAUUCCUUUACCUUGUGUUUAUUUAUAUAUUGUUAAAUUGAUGUACGUGAAUGUUUGUACUAGGAGGCAAUGGGUUGCACAGAGUAGUCACUGUCGUUCUGCAACUGUAAGCGACGUCAAAGGUGGUGAAUUGUUGAGUUUGUGUAAGUGAN